CUUAAUUGGGCGUUAAGUUGCAGGGUAUAGACCCGAAACCCGGUGAUCUAGCCAUGGGCAGGUUGAAGGUUGGGUAACACUAACUGGAGGACCGAACCGACUAAUGUUGAAAAAUUAGCGGAUGACCUGUGGCUGGGGGUGAAAGGCCAAUCAAACCGGGAGAUAGCUGGUUCUCCCCGAAAGCUAUUUAGGUAGCGCCUCGUGAAUUCAUCUCCGGGGGUAGAGCACUGUUUCGGCUAGGGGGCCAUCCCGGCUUACCAACCCGAUGCAAACUGCGAAUACCGGAGAAUGUUAUCACGGGAGACACACGGCGGGUGCUAACGUCCGUCGUGAAGAGGGAAACAACCCAGACCGCCAGCUAAGGUCCCAAAGUCAUGGUUAAGUGGGAAACGAUGUGGGAAGGCCCAGACAGCCAGGAUGUUGGCUUAGAAGCAGCCAUCAUUUAAAGAAAGCGUAAUAGCUCACUGGUCGAGUCGGCCUGCGCGGAAGAUGUAACGGGGCUAAACCAUGCACCGAAGCUGCGGCAGCGACACUGUGUGUUGUUGGGUAGGGGAGCGUUCUGUAAGCCUGUGAAGGUGUGUCGUGAGGCAUGCUGGAGGUAUCAGAAGUGCGAAUGCUGACAUAAGUAACGAUAAAGCGGGUGAAAAGCCCGCUCGCCGGAAGACCAAGGGUUCCUGUCCAACGUUAAUCGGGGCAGGGUGAGUCGACCCCUAAGGCGAGGCCGAAAGGCGUAGUCGAUGGGAAACGGGUUAAUAUUCCCGUACUUGGUGUUACUGCGAAGGGGGGACGGAGAAGGCUAUGUUGGCCGGGCGACGGUUGUCCCGGUUUAAGCGUGUAGGUGUGUGUUCCAGGUAAAUCCGGUUCACUUUAACACUGAGGCGUGACGACGAGGCACUACGGUGCUGAAGCAACAAAUGCCCUGCUUCCAGGAAAAGCCUCUAAGCAUCAGGUAACAUCAAAUCGUACCCCAAACCGACACAGGUGGUCAGGUAGAGAAUACCAAGGCGCUUGAGAGAACUCGGGUGAAGGAACUAGGCAAAAUGGUGCCGUAACUUCGGGAGAAGGCACGCUGACACGUAGGUGAAGUGAUUUACUCAUGGAGCUGAAGUCAGUCGAAGAUACCAGCUGGCUGCAACUGUUUAUUAAAAACACAGCACUGUGCAAACACGAAAGUGGACGUAUACGGUGUGACGCCUGCCCGGUGCCGGAAGGUUAAUUGAUGGGGUCAGCGCAAGCGAAGCUCCUGAUCGAAGCCCCGGUAAACGGCGGCCGUAACUAUAACGGUCCUAAGGUAGCGAAAUUCCUUGUCGGGUAAGUUCCGACCUGCACGAAUGGCGUAAUGAUGGCCAGGCUGUCUCCACCCGAGACUCAGUGAAAUUGAACUCGCUGUGAAGAUGCAGUGUACCCGCGGCAAGACGGAAAGACCCCGUGAACCUUUACUAUAGCUUGACACUGAACAUUGAGCCUUGAUGUGUAG
rnacentral:rRNA from 1 species